rnacentral:rRNA from 1 species
GACGAACGCUGGCGGCGUGCUUAACACAUGCAAGUCGAACGGAAAGGCCCCUUUUGGGGUACUCGAGUGGCGUACGGGGGAGUAACACGUGCGUAACCUGCCCUUGACUUCGGGAUAACUUCAGGAAACUGGGGCUAAUACCGCGUAGGAAUCCUUGCUGCCUGGUGGGUGUUGGAAAGCUUCGGUGGUUUUGGAUGGACUCGCGGCUCAUCAGCUUGUUGGUGGGGUAGUGGCUUACCAAGGCUUUGACGGGUAGCCGGCCUGGGAGGGCGACCGGCCACAUUGGGACUGAGAUACGGACCAGACUCCGACGGGAGGCAGAAGUGGGGGAUGUUGAUCAAUGGGCAGGAGCCAGAUGCAGCAACGCCGCGGGCGGGAUGACGGCCUUGGGGUUGUAAACCGAUUUCAGCAGGGGCGGAGCUUGUAGUGACGGUACCUGCAGAAGAAGCACCGGCUAACUACGUG